rnacentral:rRNA from 1 species
UACGAAGGGGGCUAGCGUUGCUCGGAAUCACUGGGCGUAAAGCGCACGUAGGCGGAUUGUUAAGUCAGGGGUGAAAUCCUGGAGCUCAACUCCAGAACUGCCUUUGAUACUGGCGAUCUUGAGUCCGGGAGAGGUGAGUGGAACUGCGAGUGUAGAGGUGAAAUUCGUAGAUAUUCGGAAGAACACCAGUGGCGAAGGCGGCUCACUGGCCCGGUACUGACGCUGAGGUGCGAAAGCUAGGGGAGCAAACAGG